rnacentral:sRNA from 1 species
GCCAGGUGUGGUGGUGCACACCUGUAGUCUCAGCCACUAGUGAGGCUGAGGCAGGAAGAUUGCUCAAGUCUAGGAGCCCACAGCCAGCCUGAACAUUAGUGAGACCUUGUU